GGCCGUGUAGCUCAAUGGCAGAGCGUCUGACUACGAAUAGUGUCCACCGAUACUUGAUAUGUAAUCAGAAGGUCGCAGGUUCGACCCCUGUCUCGGUCA
rnacentral:tRNA from 2 species